GGUUCCGGGGGAAGUAUGGUUGCAAAGCUGAAACUUAAAGGAAUUGACGGAAGGGCACCACCAGGAGUGGAGCCUGCGGCUUAAUUUGACUCAACACGGGGAAACUCACCCGGCCCGGACACCGUAAGGAUUGACAGAUUGAUAGCUUUUUCAUGAUUCGGUGGAUGGUGGUGCAUGGCCGUUCUUAGUUCGUGGAGCGAUUUGUCUGGUUUAUUCCGAUAACGAGCGAGACUCUGGCCUACUAAAUAGUUGACGCAUUGCCACUGUGCGCACAACUUCUUAGAGGGAUUUUCGGUGUUUUCAACCGCACGAAAUUGAGCAAUAACAGGUCUGUGAUGCCCUUAGAUGUCCGGGGCUGCACGCGCGCUACACUGGCAAACGCAACGUGCCUGUCCUGCCCCGAAAGGAGCGGGUAAACCCCUGAAAUUUUGCCGUGAUUGGGAUCGGACAUUGCAACUAUUGUCCGUGAACGAGGAAUCCC
rnacentral:rRNA from 1 species